rnacentral:rRNA from 1 species
AACGUAGGACGCAAGCGUUAUCCGGAGUUACUGGGCGUAAAGCGCGGGCAGGCGGCUCGAUGCGUCUGAUGUGAAAUCUCCUCGCUCAACGGGGAGAGGCCAUUGGAAACGGUCGAGCUGGAGGGCAGUAGAGGCAGGCGGAAUUCCGGGUGGAGUGGUGAAAUGCGUAGAGAUCCGGAGGAACACCAGAGGCGAAGGCGGCCUGCUGGCCUGUUCUUGACGCUGAGGCGCGAAAGCUAGGGGAGCAAACGGG